rnacentral:rRNA from 1 species
GUAGGUGGCAAGCGUUGUCCGGAAUUAUUGGGCGUAAAGCGCGCGCAGGCGGUCCUUUAAGUCUGAUGUGAAAGCCCACGGCUCAACCGUGGAGGGUCAUUGGAAACUGGGGGACUUGAGUACAGAAGAGGAAAGCGGAAUUCCAAGUGUAGCGGUGAAAUGCGUAGAGAUCUGGAGGAACACCAGUGGCGAAGGCGGCUUUCUGGUCUGUAACUGACGCUGAGGCGCGAAAGCGUGGGGAGCAAACAGGGAUUAGAUACCCUGGUAGUCCACGCCGUAAACGAUGAGUGCUAAGUGUUAGGGGGUUUCCCGCCCCUUAGUGCUGCAGCUAACGCAUUAAGCACUCCGCCUGGGGAGUACGGCCGCAAGGCUG